GGCAAGUCGGGCUGCUGUUGCAGUCCGACUACCGGGACGCCAUGGAGCGUAUCCGGACCCUAUGAUGAUGAUGUAUGUAUGAAGGUCUGGAGCUAGCUGCCGUCUUCGGGAUGUGCCAUUUGUUUUCAAAAUUAUUUACUCAUCCAAGUCAAUUUAAAUAAAAGUGUAUUAUAGUAAA